UUUCAACUUCCUAGGUUCCAAAUGCUUUCAGUUUUCGAAUUUGGUUUGUUUCUGUAGGCUAAGAUAUUAGAACCACCUCAGUCUCAGGACCUCCUUGUUGGAAGGAGAGGGGACUUUAAGGAGGCAGAGUUGAGGGGAUUUGGAAAGCACCAAAGGCUGGAGGCAGAGAGUAGAGCAUCCACAAAAGACCAGGAAGAAAAUGAGAUGACUGAGCAUGAGUGAAGCAACUUGGCGAAGAGUCCAAUAGAAGGGAUGCUCUGGGGUCUGAGAGUGUGGAGUUGCCAUCGCUAAGAGGGCAGAGUGACAUGGAUCAGAAGUGCUGGGCAACACAAGUCAUUGUUUGAGAGGCAACUUCUACUGAGAUCAACCCCUGGCUAUGCUGGCUGCUUAUACGAUGAAGAAAAGGAAAGUUUCUGAUCUUCACGCCAGAGCCAGAUGUCCUGAUUAAGGAGCAAAUGAAGUUUGGGAAAGAGCCAACUGAUAGAAGAUGCUUCUGUUGGACCAGGAGACUUCAAAAAAAAAAAAAAUUAAUCCAAUUUUAUUUGGGAUGAUUUAUGGAGAGCACACAACAGCCCCAAACACCUCGGCACUUUCCAUGGCAGGUGUUCUGAAGCCCGACUUCAUGUCCCCUCUGCUCACCUUCAAGGUCACUGCAGCUGAGAUGAAGAGUUGCUAUAUGCAGACAGCGUCCCACCUCAAGCACCCACAGUCUCUGCCUUUCUUGGCUUCCUCCUGCCUGAGGGCUUUCUGCACCAAGGAUGCUUCUAAGCCUUCCCAGAACAGUGUGAAGUCUGACAGCUUUAAUUCUCAACAGUAAGCCAAAGGAGUUGGAGGAGAAAUAACCCCAGCUCCUAGCUCUGCUGGGAUAGUUCUGGAAUGCACUCUAAAUAUUCCUCAGAUCAUCCUAGUGCGAUAAGCUUAGGAAAUAACGUGCAGCUCUCCUUGCUUCUCUUCUCACCUCCCUACCCUCUCAGGUGUGUCACCUGGACUCAGGUCCUGAGUCCCUCAUCUCAGUGUCUGCUUCUGCCUGGUUCCUGUCCAGAAACACUUCCUAAGUCUAUGUUUUUCAAGGUGUCUGCCAUGAAUUCAGUGUUGGACCCAACCAGCAUUUUCAAACAAUAGGAAAUAGUAGUGUGCAUCCCCAUUAGUGAGUGUAAGGACUAUAUCAUGGACACUUUGGUUUGGCUCCACAGAUGAAUGUACACUGGGUCAUGAUAAGAAUUUAUUUCUUCCUGUGCAUCGUGGUCAACAGAGUUUCUAAGUGCUUUUGACAUUUUACUUGUUAAAAGCCAAUAUAAUUUCAAUAAGGGAAAUGAGAUCAGAGAGAGGAAGAAAACAGCAUCUGAAUUUGGAAGUGACAUGUCCCAUAGGAUGAAGACAUGGAAUGAGCCUGGCCGCCAGCUUUAGCUUUGCAGCAAAUGUGUUGCGUGGUGUGCAGCAGGUCCUGUAGCCCCCACGUUUCCUUUUCCACAUUUCUAAAUUGAGAGGCUUCUAGGAGAAUAAAGAAGAUUGUUUUUUUUUCCUCUUCUCCUCU
ensembl:lncRNA